UACGUAGGUGGCAAGCGUUGUCCGGAAUUAUUGGGCGUAAAGCGCGCGUAGGCGGAACGAUCAGUCCGGUCUGAAAGCCCCCGGCUCAACCGGGGAGGGUGGCUGGAAACUGUCGUUCUUGAGGGCGAGAGAGGAGGGUGGAAUUCCUGGUGUAGCGGUGAAAUGCGUAGAGAUCAGGAGGAACACCCGUGGCGAAGGCGGCCCUCUGGCUCGACCCUGACGCUGAGGCGCGAAAGCGUGGGGAGCGAA
rnacentral:rRNA from 1 species